GUAAAGACGGUGGCGAAUUUCCUAAUCCAACUCGGAAAGCCAAAUACCGACGGACCUGGACAAAGUGCAUGCACAUUCUUUCUUUUAUAUUAGUGGCCCAAAGAACAUCGAAAGAGUAUACAGCAAUCUUUGUUAUAUUAUCAGACGACUACUCUAAAGCUAAAAACAUGAAGCGUCCAUCUGACCUACCAGUCUUUAUUC
rnacentral:lncRNA from 1 species